AUCCACCUGACAAGUCCCAAAUAGGACGAAACGCGCGUCCUGGAU
rnacentral:hammerhead_ribozyme from 1 species